UGCAGUCGAACGAAGUAGCAAUACUUAGUGGCAGACGGGUGAGUAACAUGUAGGUAUCUGCCCUUUGGCCUGGAAUAACACGAGGAAACUUGUGCUAAUACCGGAUAAGUCUUUACGGAGAAAGCUUUAUGCACCAUUGGGUGAGCCUGCACUUGAUUAGUUUGUUGGUGGGGUAAUGGCCUACCAAGACUGUGAUCAAUAGCUGAUUUGAGAGGAUGAUCAGCCACAUUGGGACUGAGACACGGCCCAAACUCCUACGGGAGGCAGCAGUGGGGAAUCUUGCACAAUGGAGGAAACUCUGAUGCAGCGAUGCCGCGUGAGUGAAGAAGGCCCUUGGGUUGUAAAGCUCUUUCGUCGGGGAAGAAAAUGACUGUACCCGAAUAAGAAGGUCCGGCUAACUUCGUGCCAGCAGCCGCGGUAAUACGAAGGGACCUAGCGUAGUUCGGAAUUACUGGGCUUAAAGAGUUCGUAGGUGGUUGAAAAAGUUAGUGGUGAAAUCCCAGAGCUUAACUCUGGAACUGCCAUUAAAACUUUUCGGCUAGAGUAUGAUAGAGGAAAGCAGAAUUUCUAGUGUAGAGGUGAAAUUCGUAGAUAUUAGAAAGAAUACCAAUUGCGAAGGCAGCUUUCUGGAUCAUUACUGACACUGAGGAACGAAAGCAUGGGUAGCGAAGAGGAUUAGAUACCCUCGUAGUCCAUGCCGUANACGAUGUGUGUUAGACGUUGGAAAUUUAUUUUCAGUGUCGCAGCGAAAGCGAUAAACACACCGCCUGGGGAGUACGACCGCAAGGUUAAAACUCAAAUGAAUUGACGGGGACCCGCACAAGUAGUGGAGCAUGUGGUUUAAUUCGAAGAUACGCGCAGAACCUUACCAACACUUGACAUGUUCGUCGCGACUC
rnacentral:rRNA from 1 species